AGAAGAGAAUAAGCUGUUCUGUUGUUGUCUUUUUCUUCCUGCUGUACCUAUUCAACGAUCCCAUGUGAAUAAUUAAUUCAGACCUAAAGGAGUGCUGAACCCGUGUGCUUCACAGUGGUUAACCAGGAAGAGGAGGAAGGAUUGUCCUGUUAGAGUAGUCUGAAAGGAUUAGAAGAUCCAAGGGAAUGGAAGCUUUCAGAAGGAGGAAGGAUCAGAUGGUGCUAUUGAAUCAUUCAUUUGUGGAAAGAGUUGUGAGAUUCUCGUUG